rnacentral:ncRNA from 2 species
CUGUUGUUAAAAGCGCCAGAACUGCAGGGUGAUGCAGUUGACGAGGUGGAGGAUGAUCGAGUGUUCGGCGGAUGCCUCCCGGUAAUGCGUCAGUACCGUGGAAUCGUAAUACAAACCGAUUGGGUGACUGAUCGAGCAAAGAUUACGAUAUGACGUAAU